AAUUAAGGGGGGAAAAAAAAUGCUAAUAGUAUUUUUAUUAUAGAAUAUAGAGUUGAGCUGAAAUACUAUCGGUAGCAAACGGACUCUAUUGCCACCCAUUUGUUUUCGAUGAUGGAGCCUCCAAAUCGACGAUUGGCACCGUUGAACAUAAUCUAUACCACUUGAAGUAUCUAGAAAUCAAAUUUAAUACUUUUUCGAUAUUAUUUUCUUAUCCAUCGAGUUGAUACAAAAAUGAAUGGCUGAAAAUAAAUAUUCUUUAAAAAAUGAUGAUAGGAGUCUUGUAGUCAAGAUCAAGAGUAUAGAUCUUAUUUUAAAUAGUUUAAAAAAUUUUCUAACAAAAAUUUAAUUGAUUUGGAUAUCUUUACGCCGUUAAACGAGAAAACGCCUCAUAUCGACCAUUAAAAUUAUAAAUUUUGAAACCCUUUGAUCAUUAGGCAAAUGAUGUCGAAAAGAUUUAAAAUUUGAUUUCUAAACAUUUCAAGUGGUAUAGAUCAUGUUCAACGAUGCCGAUCGUCGAUUUGGAGGCUCUAUCAUCGAAAACAAAUGGGUGACAACGGAACCGUUUGCUAUUGAUAGUAUUCUAGCUCAACUUAUAGAAUAUAUACAUUUUAUUCUUCAUCGUCAACAAUUUAAAAUCUUCUUAAAAUUUUUAUUAUUAAAAAUUUAAUAAUGUAAGUGAAUAAAUAUUAAUAUUUAAGAGGCUAGGGUGUGGUUGGGUGAAAAAUAUAAAUACGCAAUUGUAAUUUGGG
rnacentral:lncRNA from 1 species